rnacentral:rRNA from 1 species
AUUGAACGCUGGCGGCAGGCCUAACACAUGCAAGUCGAACGAGUGGCGGACGGGUGAGUAAUGUCUGGGAAACUGCCCGAUGGAGGGGGAUAACUACUGGAAACGGUAGCUAAUACCGCAUACCAUCGGAUGUGCCCAGAUGGGUUUAGCUAGUAGGUGGGGUAACGGCUCACCUAGGCGACGAUCCGUAGCUGGUCUGAGAGGAUGACCAGCCACACUGUAACUGAGCAACGGUCCAGACUCCUACGGGAGGAAGCAGUGGGGAAUAUUGCACAAUGGGCGCAAGCCUGAUGCAGCCAUGCGGCGUGUAUGAAGAAGGCCUUCGGGUUGUAAAGUACUUUCAGCGAGGAGGCGUUACUCGCAGAAGAAGUACCGGCUAACUCCGUGCCAGCAGGCGCGGUAAUAC